UAGCUAGUUGGUGGGGUAAAGGCCUACCAAGGCGACGAUCUGUAGCGGGUCUGAGAGGAUGAUCCGCCACACUGGGACUGAGACACCGGCCCAGACUCCUACGGGAGGCAGCAGUGGGGAAUAUUGGACAAUGGGCGAAAGCCUGAUCCAGCCAUGCCGCGUGUGUGAAGAAGGCCUUUUGGUUGUAAAGCACUUUAAGCNAGGAGGAGGCUACUUSGAUUAAUACUCUAGGAUAGUGGA
rnacentral:rRNA from 1 species